CACGCGUAUGACGCGGGCUGGACCUCUCGGGGUUACAGCCUUGCUGAAUUAUUCACCCUUGUCUUUUGCGUACUUCUUGUUUCCUUGGUGGGUUCGCCCACCACUAGGACAAACAUAAACCUUUUGUAAUUGCAAUCAGCGUCAGUAACAAAUUAAUAAUUACAACUUUCAACAACGGAUCUCUUGGUUCUGGCAUCGAUGAAGAACGCAGCGAAAUGCGAUAAGUAGUGUGAAUUGCAGAAUUCAGUGAAUCAUCGAAUCUUUGAACGCACAUUGCGCCCUUUGGUAUUCCAAAGGGCAUGCCUGUUCGAGCGUCAUUUGUACCCUCAAGCUUUGCUUGGUGUUGGGCGUCUUGUCUCUAGCUUUGCUGGAGACUCGCCUUAAAGUAAUUGGCAGCCGGCCUACUGGUUUCGGAGCGCAGCACAAGUCGCACUCUCUAUCAGCAAAGGUCUAGCAUCCAUUAAGCCUUUUUUUCAACUUUUGACCUCGGAUCAGGUAGGGAUACCCGCUGAACUUAAGCAUAUCAAA
rnacentral:rRNA from 1 species